UGAAUGAGUGUUCGCUUUGCUAAAACUGGAAUGAUACAAAGAAGAUUAGCAUGGCCCCUGUGCAAGGAUGACACACAAAUUUGUGAAACAUUCCACAUUUUU